rnacentral:lncRNA from 1 species
CCGAUAGUGCCUGCUACCUCUUUUUUUUUAAAAAAAAAAACCAAAAACCUUUCUAAAAUUCUAAAUUCUAAAAGAAAUUGCAAUAAUUAAAAAAAAACAAAAACACAAAAACCAACCAAAAACCAAACAAACCAAAAUACAAAAAAAUAAACCCCAAAACCAAAAAAACCAAAGCACUUACCAUUCUGACCUCAUAGUGCUUUGUCAUGGGCUUAAAAAAAAAACCAAACCCACAGACACAUAAAGACACAGACAGACACACAGACACCGACACGCACAAACAAACACGCGCGCGUAUUUAUGCGUUUUCAAAACAUUUGUGCCAGGGUCACGAAGGGGAUGUGGGGAGCUGCCGGCGCAGCGCAGAGCAGAGCGGUCGCUGCACAAAAGGAGGGCGAGCCCCGCAGCCCGGACCCACCAAGCGCGCCCCGCACCACCGCCCCUCCAGACCACGCAGGAACAGCAAGAGAGACUGGCAUCGGUCCUCCGAUACAAUCUGUUAGCUCAAAUGACAUGGAGCCAUGGAGUCCAUGGCUGUAGGCACGUUCAGCUGGAAAAUACUGCCUCCUCUUCUGUCUUCCCUGCGCAUCAUGAACUCAUGCUACUGCUUCCUCCUCCUGCUUUGCUCAACAACUUCCCCUCAAGCUCCUGGGCUGUCCAGCUGAAGAACUGAGCUCCUCCAUAGCCAUAAAUCCCUGUCCUGGAACAAGGGCACAUAUCAUCCCUUUGCUUUAUGAUAUGAGUUUAGAUAAAUCAAAUCAAAAGGAGAUGGAAUUCUUGAAAGUCUUUUAUUUACCUUAGCUUGUCUUCUAUCUGUUGUUUUCCCACCUAUGAUAGCACCACAAAUACACUGUUAUUGACCUUGCUGAGAUCCUUGAAUCAAUAGAAAAAUAAGAAAAUACAGUUUGCUUUUUAAAUUUGCAUUUCUCUAUGUCUGCAGCUGAACAGCAGUGUACAAAAAAACCAAACAUUUUGCUUCUGAAAAUUAUAUGCACAUGGUGAAUACUCAAAAAAUAGAAUUACUGUCAUGCAUAAAGAUAUAUACAAUGCACAAGCUGUAUGACAACCAUGAUGGAGAACCCAAGUUUUGAACCCCAGUUUUUCCAGAGAACAUGAGAUGAGAGUCAAGUUUAAUGUUUUCCAAGUAAGUCAUUGUGCUACACUGUCUACAGCAGUCCGUACCUAUGGACAGAGAGGUACAAGGCUGUGUUUGGAGGAAGGCUCAUUCCACUCAUAGCACACGGAAAUGAUGGUCUGCUCUUGCACAAAGGCUCAUUUUUGAGUCAAAAUGACAGGGGAUGGCAGCUUGCCAUUAAAUGUCAGGAGGAACAAAGGCUUCAAUGAAGUCCCUAAGCAUUUGGUGGUCACAGAGUUGUUGUGUUCAGUGUUAGGUAUCUGUACAGGGAUGUGGGGAAGAAGAGAAUAGUUCAUGAUGGAAGAAAUUAUAAAAACAUUAAAAAAAAAAAA